AUAUUGGUCAAUAGCCUAACGGCUGAACCAGCAACUUGGAGGAAUGUAUAGCAAUAGCUACUUGCAUCAUUGUAAAAAUGAUGCAAGAUCGACUAUGUCGAAUAAAAUUCUAGGUAGAAUUAUGAUAAUGACAUUGUCUGCCUAUGUGUCUUGACCAAAUUACGUGCCAGCAGUCGCGGUAAUACGUAGAAGACUAGUGUUAUUCAUGUUUAAUCGGUUUAAAGGGUACCUAGACAGCAAAUCAAGCUUUCAAAAAAAGAAAAGGACUAAUUUGCUAGAGUUACUUAUGAGGGGGUUUUAAAGUACUGAUGGUGUAGAGAUGAAAUUCUGUCAUACCUCUUUUCUAAAGAAAAAUUGAUGGCACAGGUAUAGGCGAAGGCAUCCCCUUAUGUGAUAACUGACGUUGAGGGACGAAGGCUUAUACAGCGAACAGGAUUAGAUACCCCAGUAGUCUAAGCAGAAAAUGAUGAAUGUCAUAGAUUAGAUAUAUAAGUUUAUUCUAUAAAUGAAAGUGUAAGCAUUCCACCUCAUGAGUAAUUUGGCAACAUUGGAACUGAAAUCAUUAGACCGUUUCUGAAACCAG
rnacentral:rRNA from 1 species